CAGGCCUAACACAUGCAAGUCGAACGGGUGGUCGCAAGACCAUAGUGGCGCACGGGUGCGUAACGCGUAACCAACCUGCCCUGAACUGGGGGAUAGCCCGCCGAAAGGCGAUUAAUACCGCAUAAACCAACAGAGUGGCAUCACUUAAUUGGUAAAGAUUUAUUGGUUCAGGAUGGGGUUGCGUGACAUUAGCUAGUUGGCGGGGUAACGGCCCACCAAGGCGACGAUGUCUAGGGGACCUGAGAGGGUGAUCCCCCACACUGGCACUGAGAUACGGGCCAGACUCCUACGGGAGGCAGCAGUAGGGAAUAUUGGGCAAUGGGCGCGAGCUGACCCAGCCAUGCCGCGUGCCGGAUGAAGGCCUUCUGGGUUGUAAACGGCUUUUCUCAGGGAAGAAAAAGAGGAUGCGUCCUAAACUGACGGUACCUGAGGAAUAAGCACCGGCUAACUCCGUGCCAGCAGCCGCGGUAAUACGGAGGGUGCAAGCGUUGUCCGGAUUUAUUGGGUUUAAAGGGUGCGUAGGUGGCCCGUUAAGUCCGGGGUGAAAGCCCACAGCUCAACUGUGGAACUGCCCUGGAUACUGGCGGGCUUGAGUCCAGACGAGGUUGGCGGAAUGGAAGAUGUAGCGGUGAAAUGCAUAGAUAUCUUCCAGAACCCCGAUUGCGUAGGCAGCUGACUAGGCUGGUACUGACACUGAGGCACGAAAGCGUGGGGAGCGAACAGGAUUAGAUACCCUGGUAGUCCACGCCGUAAACGAUGGAUACUCGCUGGUGGCGAUAGACAGUCACUGGCUUAGCG
rnacentral:rRNA from 1 species